rnacentral:rRNA from 1 species
GACGAACGCUGGCGGCGUGCUUAACACAUGCAAGUCGAACGGUAAGGCCCUUCGGGGUACACGAGUGGCGAACGGGUGAGUAACACGUGGGUGAUCUGCCCUGCACUUCGGGAUAAGCCUGGGAAACUGGGUCUAAUACCGGAUAGGACUCCGGACUGCAUGGUCUGGGGUGGAAAGCUUUUGCGGUGUGGGAUGGGCCCGCGGCCUAUCAGCUUGUUGGUGGGGUGAUGGCCUACCAAGGCGACGACGGGUAGCCGGCGUGAGAGGGUGACCGGCCACACUGGGACUGAGAGACGGCCCAGACUGCUACGGGAGGCAGCAGUGGGGAAUAUUGCACAAUGGGCGCAAGCCUGAUGCAGCGACGCCGCGUGAGGGAUGACGGCCUUCGGGUUGUAAACCUCUUUCAGCAUCGACGAAGCGAAAGUGACGGUAGGUGCAGAAGAAGGACCGGCCAACUACGUGCCAGCAGCCGCCGUAA